UACGGGGGGUGCAAACGUUGUUCGGAAUCACUGGGCGUAAAGAGCGCGUAGGCGGCCUUGUAAGUGGGGUGUGAAAUCCCCCGGCUCAACCGGGGAACUGCAUCCCAUACUGCAUGGCUUGAGGGCAGCAGAGGAAACGGGAAUUCCCGGUGUAGCGGUGAAAUGCGUAGAUAUCUGGAGGAACACCGGUGGCGAAGGCGGCAUCCUGGACCGGCAUUGACGCUGAGGCGCGAAAGCCAGGGGAGCAAACGGG
rnacentral:rRNA from 1 species